rnacentral:tRNA from 1 species
AGAUUGAAAAAAUUUCCGCAGGCA